rnacentral:rRNA from 1 species
GACGAACGCUGGCGGCGUGCUUAACACAUGCAAGUCGAGCGAUGAAGCUCCUUCGGGAGUGGAUUAGCGGCGGACGGGUGAGUAACACGUGGGUAACCUGCCUCAUAGAGGGGAAUAGCCUUCCGAAAGGAAGAUUAAUACCGCAUAAGAUUGUAGUACCGCAUGGUAUAGCAAUUAAAGGAGCAAUCCGCUAUGAGAUGGACCCGCGUCGCAUUAGCUAGUUGGUGAGGUAACGGCUCACCAAGGCGACGAUGCGGAGCCGACCUGAGAGGGUGAUACGCCACAUUGGGACUGAGACACGGCCCAGACUCCUACGGGAGGCAGCAGUGGGGAAUAUUGCAGAAUGGGGGAAACCCUGAUGCAGCAACGCCGCGUGAGUGAUGACGGCCUUCGGGUUGUAAAGCUCUGUCUUCAGUGACGAUAAUGACGGUACCUGAGGAGGAAGCCACGGCUAACUACGUGCCAGCCGCCGCAGUAAAAC